rnacentral:rRNA from 1 species
UACCAGCACCCCGAGUGGUCGGGACGUUUAUUGGGCCUAAAGCAUCCGUAGCCGGUUCUACAAGUCUUCCGUUAAAUCCACCUGCUUAACAGAUGGGCUGCGGGGGAUACUAUAAGACUAGGAGGCAGGAGAGGCAAGCGGUACUCAGUGGGUAGGGGUAAAAUCCGUUGAUCCAUUGAAGACCACCAGUGGCGAAGGCGGCUUGCCAGAAUGCGCUCGACGGUGAGGGAUGAAAGCUGGGGGAGCAAACCGG